rnacentral:rRNA from 2 species
AGGCUGGUACGAUGUCGAUUUGGAGGUUGUGCCCUUGAGGCGUGGCUUCCGAAGCUAACGCGUUAAAUCGACCGCCUGGGGAGUACGGCCGCAAGGUUAAAACUCAAAUGAAUUGACGGGGGCCCGCACAAGCGGUGGAGCAUGUGGUUUAAUUCGAUGCAACGCGAAGAACCUUACCUACUCUUGACAUCCAGCGAAUCCUGUAGAGAUACGGGAGUGCCUUCGGGAACGCUGAGACAGGUGCUGCAUGGCUGUCGUCAGCUCGUGUUGUGAAAUGUUGGGUUAAGUCCCGCAACGAGCGCAACCCUUAUCCUUUGUUGCCAGCGGUUCGGCCGGGAACUCAAAGGAGACUGCCAGUGAUAAACUGGAGGAAGGUGGGGAUGACGUCAAGUCAUCAUGGCCCUUACGAGUAGGGCUACACACGUGCUACAAUGGCGUAUACAAAGAGAAGCGAACUCGCGAGAGCAAGCGGACCUCAUAAAGUACGUCGUAGUCCGGAUUGGAGUCUGCAACUCGACUCCAUGAAGUCGGAAUCGCUAGUAAUCGUGGAUCAGAAUGCCACGGUGAAUACGUUCCCGGGCCUUGUACACACCGCCCGUCACACCAUGGGAGUGGGUUGCAAAAGAAGUAGGUAGCUUAACCUUCGGGAGGGCGCUUACCACUUUGUGAUUCAUGACUGGGGUGAAGUCGUAAAAAGUAAACCAAAAAAA